rnacentral:pre_miRNA from 1 species
GACUAAUGGUGCAGCCAAGGAUGACUUGCCGAUCGAUCGAUGCAAACUCCUCUGAUGUCUGAUCUCAUCAGAUUAUCGUUGUCGGCAAGUUGUUCUUGGCUACACCGUGGCUCCU